GACGAACGCUGGCGGCGUGCUUAACACAUGCAAGUCGAACGGAAAGGCCCUGCUUUUGUGGGGUGCUCGAGUGGCGAACGGGUGAGUAACACGUGAGUAACCUGCCCUUGACUUUGGGAUAACUUCAGGAAACUGGGGCUAAUACCGGAUAGGAGCUCCUGCUGCAUGGUGGGGGUUGGAAAGUUUCGGCGGUUGGGGAUGGACUCGCGGCUUAUCAGCUUGUUGGUGGGGUAGUGGCUUACCAAGGCUUUGACGGGUAGCCGGCCUGAGAGGGUGACCGGCUACAUUGGGACUGAGAUACGGCCCAGACUCCUACGGGAGGCAGCAGUGGGGAAUAUUGCACAAUGGGCGGAAGUCUGAUGCAGCAACGCCGCGUGCGGGAUGACGGCCUGCGGGUUGUAAACCGCUUUCGCCUGUGCCGAAGCGUGAGUGACGGUAAUGGGUAAAGAAGCACCGGCUAACUACGUG
rnacentral:rRNA from 1 species